rnacentral:lncRNA from 1 species
ACUUAGUUUAACAUAGAACACUGGACACUUUUAAUUUGCAAAACACUCAUUUGCAAAUCCGCCGCCGCCUCAAACAAGAGCCACAAUAUCAUGUAUAUAACCAAAAUGUGCGGAAUUACAUGGGAUUCAACAAUUUCAUUGGUUUUCUACUGUUACUUUUAUAUUUAUUUUGCUAUUUGAUUUAUAAAAACAUGGGAUUUUCAAUAUCCCAUGGGACAGGGCAAAAUCCCAUGGGAUUGACCAUUAUCCCAUGGGAUUUUGGUUAAAUCCCA